CCCAAGCAUUUAUUACUUUUGUCUGUUAACUUUAUUAGAAUUAAAUAAUUUUUAAUUCCCAAGGUAAAACAGACCCAAAGGACAAAGCAUCAAGCAACUUUCUCACUUUCUCUAUCCUCCCAAUUCUCAGUCCUCACUCCUAAGAAAAAAAUCUGCCGGACUGCCGCCGCCCACCCACCGGAAUUUUGCCACAAAAGAGAGGUCUGCCGGACAGCCGGAAUGCCGUCGACACUCGCCUGCUCGCCGACGCCUUACUGCUGCGCUGCUUGGCAGCUGCUUCGAAACGCGGCAAACGUCGGAGAUCUGAAUUGUCGCUGCCGGUCGCCGGAUUGCGAUUAUCCUCAACUAUUAAUGAUGAUGAUCCACCAUCAAGUAAGUGUUGGUCCAGUGGUGAUGAGGACUGGCUUUGGUAGGACAGACCCGUGUUCGAAUCCCCUAAACACUCUUGGGAGAGGAAUGGAACUAAACCACCCCGAACUUGGCCUCGAUCCGAAUGUAGCUCGAAGGGUGAAUCGGGUGCAAACACCCAAAAAAAAUGAUGAUGAUCCACCAAUUUACUCUAUUGUACAUUACUACGGUUAGUUUUAUUGUGAUUACAUCCCACGUUAAAUAGUAAAUUAGAAAAAUGAAAAAUCCUUUACAUUAUGUAGUUAUUGUUUAUUACUUUUCAGUAAUUUAGGCGAUAUUUGAUCUUAUAUUGAGCAUUAUUUGAAUGCUCUUACAUGAUUUUAUGAAAUCAAUUAAAGGAUCAUGUAUAAAUGAAAGGAAUAAAUGGUCUAAAUAAUACCUCUUGAUGACUCUUAUGCAGUCCAUUCCCUGAUUUGGGGAAAAUUGGAUCCAGUA